rnacentral:rRNA from 1 species
CUUUACUAUAGCCUGGAAUUGUGUUCGGGCUUUUCUUGCGCAGCCUAGGUGGGAGGCUAUGAAGAUUUCCUUCCGGGGAAGUUGGAGCCAUCAGUGAGAGACCACUCUGGAGAGGCUAGAAUCCUAAUGGUGAUCCUUGAAUCAGGACACUUGACAGUUUCAGGUGGGCAGUUUUUCUGGGGCGGAAGCCUCAUAAAGGGUAACUGAGGCGCGCAAAGGUCCCCUCAGUCUGGACGGAAAUCAGACAACGAGUGUAAAGGCAAAAGGGGGCUUGACUGCAAGACCUACAAGUCGAGCAGGAGCGAAAGCUGGCCUUAGUGAUCCGACGGUACCGUGUGGAAGGGCCGUCGCUCAACGGAUAAAAGUUA